AUCCUUUUGUAUUUCAUAAGCGUGAUGAUUGGGUGUUCACACUGUUGUGUGACAUGUGCUUCCCUUAAAUCUUGUUAAGACCUUGGCACACUGCCUGUCUGACG
ensembl:snoRNA